GGAGAGGUGCGAGAGUGGUUGAAUCGGGCAGACUCGAAAUCUGUUGUACGGCUUGUCCGUACCGAGGGUUCGAAUCCCUCCCUCUCCG
rnacentral:tRNA from 1 species